AAUGUUAUAAGAACGCAUAUAUCAAAUAUUAAUAAAGUUAUUGGAACAUUUUGUUGUCAUAGUUUCCAUCUAAAUAUCGCGAUUUACACAGUUUGAAGAUAGCGGUCAUUGGUCCGAAAAUUCGCGCGGAGGCGCAUGCGCAGAGUGUGACAUAUAGUUCGCGUUUCCUUACAGUAGUUUUUAUUUUUAUUUAUUUAUUUAUUAUUAUUUAUUUUUUUUAACGAUUUUCUAUUAAACAAAAAGCAAUUAAAACGGUGAAAGUUUGUAAACGCUUUAAUAUGUUUCUAUAAAUUUGUAUUUGUAUGCAGCCCCUCUAGUGUAUAAUUGUUAUAUCAUGUAUAGCCUAAUGUUUAUUGCUUAUAUCAUGUAGCUUAUAAUGUUUGUCAUAUACAUGUAAUUUGAUAUUGUUAAUAAAAAAGUAACAUCGUUUUUUUUUUUUUUUUAUAGGCUAAUCUACGCAUUUUUUAAUCUUUAAUCGAAAGAUUAUUUUUCUGGUUAAAAUUAAGGUAGGCCUAUAUUAUUAUAUAUGUUUAUUACAUUAUCUUUGCGUUUUUCUUAAAUUAAAAAUAAUAUAGGCCUGCAUUAACCAAAAUGAUCUAACAGAACCUCUGUGUUUUAAACAUGAUAGUGAAAUAUUUAAUGGCUUAUACACUGAGAGUUUUGGAGCUGUGUGCAUCAAAACGACUCCUCCUUCAGUCACACACACACACACACACACACACACACACACACACACACACACACAGUCGGUGAACUCCUCGCUGUGAUCUUCGUCAGUCUCGCGUUCAGCGCGUGUGGAGAAACAGCUGCUCCGCUCGUUUCCUCGAGGAGUGAGUGAUGUGAUUGACUUCUACUCUUCUUCAGGAGGAACCGACACUUCGAGAGGAGACACGACAGACAGCAGGAGAACCGAACCGAACCGGACCGAUCCGAACAGUCCCUGCGCGCGGAGCGAUGGAACCCUCAGCUCGGCGCUCGCGAGGAAACACAGAUGCGUUGUGGACCGGUGGCUUUGCCUCGUCCUUGAGCUCUUCCAGCUUGAGUUUGUGAAACUCCUUCAACACUGACCGCCGCCAAUCAUCCUCUC
ensembl:lncRNA